rnacentral:lncRNA from 1 species
GAUGCAGGACUGUGGCUGAGGUGUAGAAUUUCCAGGGAGCCACAGCCACUCCCAGGGGGCACCGCAGGGGCUGCGAUUGUCAGGAGACCUGAAGAGCAAAGACAGAGAGCUGUCAGCCUCAUACUGAGGUCAUCCAGAGUCACAUUCCCAACACACACAUUCCUUCUUGCCCACCAUGGGCAAGUUUAACAUCUCCUGGACCAAGAUUGUAGACCUGGAUGUCUGGGAAGAUGGGCACUCUGCAUAGAUUAAGCCCCAGAAGUACCACGCCCCAAGGGAGGAUGCCCUCUGUUGGGAACCCAGAGGAACCUCUGUAUACUCUCCAGCCUGUGUUGGCCAGAGCUGCUCUAGGUCUUUUUGGUUUCCCAAGGGUGCCUGGCACAAACUGGAAUACUUAGCAUGAGUACCACACUGGCACAGGGGGGCAAGCACUUCGAACCUGACCCUUUAACAGCUCUGGCAGGAGAGAAGGUACCUCACUCCCACCCUUCAGCAAUCAGACCCUAGAGAGCUACAACAUCUGCAGGAGUCCCAUGGGAUAGAAGGGAAAGGUGGAAGGUUGGUGUCUAGAAAAGCUUGUCGCCCAGGAAGAGCACUCACACAGUUCUGACCACCUUAGCAGAUCACUUUGCAAGAGAGACUUGAGUUGAGACACUGAUAGGUUAACAGUGGGAGGGACCACACAUUGACCAUGAUGGUCUGGUCAUACAUGUACUUCUUGCCCUUUACACCUAAACCUCACUCAGUAUCCUAUAGACAUAGGAGUCAAUAGACCUCUGAGUCCACCUCCCAGUAUGUCCAUGCAGAUUUAUUAAUCCUUUCCCUGUUUUUUUGUUUGUUUGUUUUUGUUUUGUUUGUGUGUGUGUGUGUGUGUGUGUGUGUGUGUGUGUGUGUGUGUGUGUUUUACCAUUGCUGGUCUCUGUUGUAUUAGGAUGGUUGAUGGGCCUUGUUUGUUGUGGCUGCCGGGUCUCAAGCUGUGACUCUAACAUCGCCAGUAACAACCCAGCUCUGCCACCCCAGGAGGUGCCCUGGGACUAAGACACCACAAUUCCAGAACAUCAGAUCCUUCCAACAUGGAAACCCCCCAGGUUAUGUACUCAUAAAGUGGGGCCCAGCUGCUGAGUGGCCUCUCUAAUCCAUGUGCCAUAGUAGGGGCUUCAGGGAGACAGACCAUAGGUUAAUGGAGGCGGCUACAUUCCAUUGGCUUGGCAAACUCAUAGCUUUCGUCGGUCCUUUGUGUCUUCAUGUACUCACCAAACGCAUGGGGAUAAUUGCACCUGAUUGUUCAUAUCAGUAUCACUUGACAGUGUAUGUAAGACCAGCUCACGGAGCAUCCGCUCUCUCAUCAUCAGAGGCUGAGGCUGCCCCACCCUGCCUGCCUCCAUGGCUUGGCAACCUUCGUGAGGGCUUCUGGGAUGCUCACCCCUCUCCCACUGCUGUUGUACUGAGCUGGGAUGGGAUCUGUGGUCUGUGUCUGAAGCACAUUUGGGAAGGUGAUUGUUAGAUAUGAGAGGAUGGUGGGGGCUGUCUGCAAACAUGAGGAAACCAACAGCUGUAACCAUACACAUUUGUUAUUCGGUGACAUCUCCUUGGAAGAAAAACAUACUGUUGAAUUAUCAGAAAGCCACUCUUCCUAGAUGUGUUCUGGGGGCUGCUUUCCCACCACAAUUCCAUAGCAACAGCCUCUGCUCUUUCUAGAAAGGAACAAUGAGCAAGGUCUUAGCAUUACUCCAUCUGUGCUGUAGGACAGGGUCCCCUCCCCCUACACACACAUCCUAGCUGGUGUCUGUUCUCGUUCAUCUUAUUCUGUGAGAAACCCCUUCCACACCCUCAGCAUCGUGGAAAUUCUUUAUGGUGAGAGACCAAGCAGGUUAUGCUUAGCACUGUGUGCUCUCCCUUCCUGUACCCCAAACCUUCUGCCUGUUAGGGCAUGACUGACUGUGGCAACCCCUUUUCAGAAACACAGAAGUUCUUGGCUGUUUCCUCCUGGUCCCAGGUGCCAGAUCACAGAACAGGGUGUAGUAGGCCAGGCUACUCACUGGUUAGUGGGGUUGUCCCUGAGUGUGGACUGUCUAGGACAUAGCUCACAAGCUGUCUCCCAUGCACCCUGAGGGCUGUCCCUGCUGGCCACUCCACAGAGCCUUUGUGUUUCUGUGCUUGCCUGGGUCUGCAUGAUGGCUGCAUAUACUACGAGCACAGCAUGAUGGCUAUACAUGGAUGACUCAAACAGCAGCAGCUCAGAGUUUGGGGGCUGGAGUUUGAGGGCAGCCAGACAGGACUGGCUCAAACUACAGGGAAUUGCCUUGGUUUUCUUGAGACUGGUUGUUAUAGUCUCAGCCUCUCCUUCACAGUUCGUUAGGACAUUUGUGACCUAACGGAGCAUCCACUCUCUCAUCAUCAGAGGCUGAGGUUGCCCCACCCUGCCUGCCUCCAUGGCUUGGCAACCUUCGUGAGGGCUUCUGGGAUGCUCACCCCUCUCCCACAGCUGUUGUACUGAGCUGGGAUGGGAUCUGUGGUCUGUGUCUGAAGCACAUUUGGGAAGGUGAUUGUUAGAUAUGAGAAGAUGGUGGACAUGCUAGACACGGAAGUACACUUUGCCUGGAGGGCCUUGGUUCCAUCACAUAGGCACAGGCCUGUUGUCACAGGUUCUGAGUGGACCUUCUCUUGGGAUCCUGAGUCCUUUCUUCAUUGGCUCCCUGGCCAGCCUGUGUUGGGUGGCCUCUUUGGAGUCAGCUGCUGAUCUUGGCUGCUGACUGUGAGCUCAAAGCUCUUAAACUCCCACCCUCCCAGGCUCUGCUGUGUCCUGAAGCCAAGAAUCCGUAAUGUCACUUGUCCCUGGUCUCCUGACAGUUGGACCUGUGUCUUCCGGCUCCACCACUGCUCUAGCCUAACAAAAGAAUGUUAUAUAACAGCGUGAGCAGUUGCAUCCCCUGUUCCCCGCUCCCCAGCCUUGGGUUUGAAUGAUAUACACGUGCUGAACUCAGGUCUAGGUUUUGAAGGAAUGUCUUCUUGCUAUUUGAACCAGCCUGGCAGGGUUGAACAUAUUCCAGAGAUGUUUGCUGCUCUCAAUUUGGCCGUCCCACUAGUCAAACGCUGGUCCCCAAGAAUCCAGAAUUCUUCCCCAUAACCUCAUGCUGGGAAAAGAGAAAGCUUAAAGCCUGAGCCAGACAGAGGGGACACUUCCCCACACCUGACGUUUACAACUUGUCGGGCCACCUUCAGGAAGAGACUGUGAUGGGUCAAGGUUGAGUGGAACCACACAUUGACCAACACUGCUUAGAUAUGUAUAAUGCUGCCCUCUACUUAAACCUUAAUCUCACUUCAGGACCCCGAGGAUGGAUCUGAGGAGGUCAUUACAUCUCUUUUCUCAAUGUAGUCACAUUGAAUAAAUCAAUCUUUUUUUCCUCCUUUGCUUUUCACAAUUAAUUAGACUGUUUAAAUUGGUCCAUUGAGUAUAGGUAGUUGAGACUGGCUUGCUGGGCAUAGGCUGUGACCCUGAGUCCAGUUCCCAUUGCAGUACAAGUCGGGAGCAUGUUUCAUGGUGAUCACAGCUCUGUGAUGGACGUGGGGGUAGAGCUCCUUUGGGUUAACCGGGGUUUCCUUUCUACAUCCCAACAACUGCUGUUUUGUUCCCUACCACUCGGGUGACAGCCACACAGGUCCUGGUACCACAGGUUCCCACUCGUAGGUCUGGUCUACACACAGCAAACCCAUCCCACCCCAAUGCACACUAUUGUGAUCAAAAUCUUUAGUUUCAUUCUUCCACAUUUAAAUAUCCAGCUUUUCCCCCAGUGUUCUUUGCUGGAAAAAGGUUGUCUUCUUUCUAGUGUACACUCCUAGUACUUUCUGUUUAAGAUCGGGCUCUGUAGCGGGUGGGUUUAUUCCUGGACCCUCUAUUCUAUCCCAGUCCACAUGCUCUUCCGCCUCUGUGGUUCUGUAGUGUAACUGAGAUCAGGUCCCGUGAUAUCUCCAGGGUGGUUCUUUAUGUUUAGGAUGGCUUGAGCUUGUGGGGUGGUGGGCUCUGCAAAGAAAGCCUGGUCCCCAGUCAAGCAAAGGUAUGGAAUCCCGGUGACCCAAUGGGUGGUGACUUCAUCUGCCUGGGACUGCAGGUGUUCAGCCAUGCUUCCUGGGUCCCUGGCUCCUGUCACAUAGCUACAGCCUCCCACAGUCCUCUGCCCCGCAGAGAGCCACAUAGGAGAAGCACCAAGCCUUCUCAC